rnacentral:rRNA from 1 species
GUUAGGAAUAUUGGACAAUGGGCGCAAGCCUGAUCCAGCCAUGCCGCGUGAGUGAUGAAGGCCUUCGGGUUGUAAAGCUCUUUAGCCGAUGAUUAUAAUGACUGUAGUCGGAAAAUAAGCCCCGGCUAACUUCGUGCCAGCAGCCGCGGUAAUACGAAGGGGGCGAGCGUUAUUCGGAAUCACUGGGCGUAAAGCGUGCGUAGGCGGCUUUGCAAGUUGGGAGUGAAAGCCCAGGGCUCAACCCUGGAAUUGCUCUGAAAACUGCAAGGCUCGAAUUCGGGAGAGGAUAGCGGAAUUGUCAGUGUAGCAGUGAAAUGCGUAGAUAUUGACAGGAACACCAGUGGCGUAAGCGGCUAUCUGGACCGAUAUUGACGCUGAGGCACGAAAGCGUGGGGAUCAAACAGGAUUAGAUACCCGGGUAGUCC